rnacentral:lncRNA from 1 species
GACUUCCGGUUGGUGCCAGCAGCAAUGGCUGACCUCCUUUGAAGAUUCGGAGGGGGUAGCUCGGCGGGAGAUCGGGUCCUGUGCGCUCCGGCGAAGCGGGGACCCUCAGAAAUCGCAGGCGCGGACGCCUGCGAACGUGGAGGCUCGGCGGGCACCUUGAAGCGCCCCCCCCACCUGAAAAGAAGCCUUUUUGGGGCUUCGUAAGGGAGCGGGGAGAGAAGCGCGGUGCUGCGAGCGGAUCGCUGCUCCCGCUGAGUGAAGCCGCGUUGCCGUUGCUGGAGAGCGCUGACUUAUUCCUGAGAAAUUCGGACUUAAAAACUAACCGUGAGUAGAGGAAUUGGAUAAAAAGAUUAGAAUUUGGACUAAUUUGGAACUUGGGUAAAAAGUGGAAAAGUUUAAAGACUUUAAAAAAUGACUGAAUUGGCUACCGCGGUGGAAGCUUAAACAGGAAGUCGGCUUCACUGCGUUGUGUAAAGAACAAAGCAAAGAGAUUUGAAGCUAAACGUGAAGAAUUGAAUUGAAAUAAGUGUAAUCUUCUAACCUGAGGACUUUGGAGGGAUCUACCCUUAAGAGAAUUAAGGGAAAGACUUUUGAUUUUAUAGGACUUUUUAGAUUGAAAGAUUAAAGGAGUGAUCUGUCACCCAGCUGUCAAAGCUGUCAAAAUCGCUAAAGCAGUCUGCUGGCUGUAAAGGAGAUACAGAGUGGCCAGCUUCACUGAGAAAGAUUGGAAAGGACUGAAAAGUUAUAUUGUAGCUCUUACUUUGGACUCUUUUUUUCCUUUUACUGAGUAUCUUUCCCUUGCCGUUUUAAAGACAGUAACUUGUUAAGUGGCAACAGUGUCCAUCUAGUGGAACUUUCUGUAACUGCAAGAAAGGAAAGGAAUUUUCCAAGUAUAAACAGGAAGAGUGGACGUGGGAAAGUAACCUGACCUUCACUUUGUUAUGGCUGAUGGGUUUAAGGACCAGUCAACCUUGAGAUCAGGGAAACCUUGGACACAUAGAAGGCAAUCAUCUGCUGGUCUGCCGACAUCGGCAACACAAUCUAAGAUUGGUGGAAUGUCUGAGGAAUUUCUAGUUAGUGCUCUUUCUAAGAUUAAUGAUUCAAUACAGCAGCUUUCUACAAAAGUGGAAGAGACGAACAGGAGGGUGGAAGAGACUGGUCAGAAAGUGGAUACUGCAAACAGGAAAAUUGACCUAAAUACAGAAACAUUAGGCAACUUGGAGAAAAAAGUAAACAGCAACACGGAGUCUAUCCAGAAAUUGUUGCAAGACUCAAAGUCAAUACAGGAAAAAACUGCUGCUGUUGAGUUUAAAUUGGGGCAGUUGGAAACUGAGAAAGUACCAGAUAUACAGAAAGAGAUUGCAGAACAUAAGCUAACGCUAUCUAUGAUAGACCUGAGAGACAAACAAACGAAUCUCAGAAUCAGAGCUGUUCCUGAGCUGGAGAAAGGUACUUUGAUAGACUUUUUGACACAGGAAUUUCUGGACUUUUGGAAAUCGGAAUUGAAACAAGAGGACUUUAAGAUUGUGAGAGCCUUUCGAUUGGGGAAAGGAGGAAGAAAGAUCAAAAUAAGGGAUUGUUUGAUCACCCUUCGAUCUAAGGAAGAAAGGGACAAAAUUUUGGGUUUGCAUUACGAAAAACCCUUGACAAUUAUACAAUCAAAAGUUGAAAUCUUUAAAGAUAUACCAAAACACCUUCUUGAUUUGAGAAAGGAUUUUGGGGAUCUGGUAGAUUUGUUGAGAAAAAUAAGAUUCUUUUCAGGUGGGAAUUUCCCCAAGGCCUAUCCUUUAGUUUUAAGGGAAGAAAGACCAAGAUCAGAUCAGUGGAGGAAAAGAACAAGUUCCUGAGUGCAUAUGAAGAAGAUCUACUGAAAGGAUUGGGAAAAGACAUUGCGAUACCGGACAAGAAGCAGGAAAAAGUGAAACCAACGCCACCGACAGACAUAGAAAAUCUUCUUGGGGCUGCUGGAGGAGAAGGAGAGUAGCUACAAAAUGACACUACAAAUUUUAAGUUGGAACAUUAAUGGUCUAAAUUGUCGGCUAAAAGGGGAAGAGUAUUUCAUACAUUGAAAAAAGAACAUUUGGACUUGAUCUGUUUACAAGAGACUCAUGUGACAAGGCUGCAUCGGAAAAUUCUGAUAAAUAAAAGAUUGGGAGAGGAAUUUAUUUCAUCGGACAAUGUUAAAAAAGAGGGGUAGUACUUUAUGCGAAGGAAAGCCUGUCACCAAAAUUCAUAUUUAAAGAUGAUCAAGGAAGAUACAUAGCAAUUGAAAUUCAAUUCCAAGGACAGAAAUUUUUGAUAUUAGGAGUAUAUGCACCAAAUGAGGGAAAAUCAGAAUUUUUUAAGAAAUUGCAUGAAACUCUUCUGGACUAUUUGGAUUACAAUAUUAUUUUGAUGGGAGAUAUGAAUGGAGUAGUGUCUACAAAUAUGGACAAGGCCCAAAGACAAACAGUGACAAAAGAUGGAAGAUUACCAAAGACAUUCUUUGAAAUGACUGACAAUAUGGAUCUGGUGGAUAUUUGGCGAACAAAGAACCCCUUGGAAAGAGAAGGAACCUUCUUCUCUGAAGCAAAUAUGACAUGGACAAGAAUAGACCAAAUCUGGAUAACUAGAGGACUGGCUCCUAAAAUCAAAAAAGCAGUGAUUUGUCCGAAAAUCUGCUCCGAUCACAAUCCAGUAAAGAUUGAAAUGACAUUAACGCCAAUUGGGGCCUUUAGAUGGAGGAUGAAUGACUCCUUAUUUAGGAAUGAAGAAAUUGUUAAAAAGGCUCAAAAAAACCUGAGAGAUUAUUUCGAAAUAAAUUUGAACACGACGACAGAAAAAAGAGUGAUUUGGGACGCUAGCAAAGCGGUGAUGAGAGGAUUUUUGAUACAACAAAAUGCAAUCAGGAAAAGAUACCAAAAUGAGAAGAGAGAAAAAAUUCUGGAG